rnacentral:rRNA from 1 species
AACGAACGCUGGCGGCAGGCCUAACACAUGCAAGUCGAACGCACCGCAAGGUGAGUGGCGCACGGGUGAGUAACACGUGGGAAUGUACCCUUUGGUUCGGAAUAACGUCUGGAGACGGACGCUAAUACCGGAUGAGCCCUGCGGGGGAAAGAUUUAUCGCCAAAGGAGCAGCCCGCGUCUGAUUAGCUAGUUGGUGGGGUAAGGGCCUACCAAGGCGACGAUCAGUAGCUGGUCUGAGAGGAUGAUCAGCCACACGGGGACUGAGACACGGCCCAGACUCCUACGGGAGGCAGCAGUGGGGAAUAUUGGACAAUGGGCGGAAGCCUGAUCCAGCCAUGCCGCGUGAGUGAUGAAGGCCUUUGGGUUGUAAAGCUCUUUCGCACGCGACGAUGAUGACGGUAGCGUGAGAAGAAGCCCCGGCUAACUUCGUGCCAGCAGCCGCCGUAAUAC